GACGAACGCUGGCGGCGUGCCUAAUACAUGCAAGUAGAACGCUGAAGGAGGAGCUUGCUUCUCUGGAUGAGUUGCGAACGGGUGAGUAACGCGUGGGUAACCUGCCUGGUAGCGGGGGAUAACUAUUGGAAACGAUAGCUAAUACCGCAUAAUAUUGACUAUUGCAUGAUAGUCAGUUGAAAGGUGCAACUGCACCACUACCAGAUGGACCUGCGUUGUAUUAGCUAGUUGGUGGGGUAACGGCUCACCAAGGCGACGAUACAUAGCCGACCUGAGAGGGUGAUCGGCCACACUGGGAAUGAGACACGGCCCAGACUCCUACGGGAGGCAGCAGUAGGGAAUCUUCGGCAAUGGACGGAAGUCUGACCGAGCAACGCCGCGUGAGUGAAGAAGGGUUUCGGAUCGUAAAGCUCUGUUGUAAGAGAAGAACGAGUGUGAGAGUGGAAAGCUCACACUGUGACGGUAUCUUACCAGAAAGGGACGGCUAACUACGUG
rnacentral:rRNA from 1 species